CGAUAGAGUAAGCAGAACAAGGCAGGGCAACCUUAAGCAGGUGUAAAGGACAGUUUGAAGAAGGACACAGGCUCCGUGUGUGACCUAUCGUCUGUCGGCCCGGGAGAGCGGCUCUGCUUUCGCCCAAUGCAGAGAUCAUCUAUCCGUUGCUGUCACAUGAGGACGUGUGUCUGCCUAUUCUACACCCAUUCUCUGAUCCAGUAGGGUGCAGCACAUCAGUCUGCUGAAGGCCUCAAGCAUCCAUCACCCUGAACCCCAGCAGGCCUGUCACACUGUCUCACUCCCCUGAUUCUGCCUCUUCUCCUUCAGCACGCACCCCUCAGCCCUCCCUGGAGACCCCAGGGCCCCUCAUCCUCAAUGGAGAGCAGGGAGUGGGAUGCGGGACCCUCGCCCAGGAGAUCUGCCUCACUCCUGGGAACCUGAGGGAGGAUCCUCUGCCGGCACAGGGCUUCCAUGAUGUCUCGACUCUCACAGAUCUGUGCUCCAGUGUGGAUCUGCCAGAGGUGGAGAUUGUCAGCUUGCUUACAGAAAAGUUGCCCAAAUACACUCUGCGGGCAGACCAUGUGUUUGGGUACGAGCAUGACGACUGGCUGCACACACCUCUGCUGCCACCAGAGGCCCCUCUUGGACUUACAGAGGAGCAGAUCGACGAGACACUCAAGUACUUCUGUGAGUCCGCACUGUUUGUUUUUACUAUACUGCUUUGCCAUUUC
ensembl:lncRNA